UACGUAGGUGGCGAGCGUUGUCCGGAUUUACUGGGUGUAAAGGGCGAGUAGGCGGGCAGGCAAGUCAGAUGUGAAAACUGGAGGCUCAACCUCCAGACUGCAUUUGAAACUGUUUGUCUUGAGUGAUGGAGAGGCAGGCGGAAUUCCCGGUGUAGCGGUGAAAUGCGUAGAGAUCGGGAGGAACACCAGUGGCGAAGGCGGCCUGCUGGACAUUAACUGACGCUGAGGCGCGAAAGCGUGGGGAGCAAAC
rnacentral:rRNA from 1 species